rnacentral:rRNA from 1 species
UACGUAGGGGGCUAGCGUUGUCCGGAAUCAUUGGGCGUAAAGAGCGUGUAGGCGGCUUUACAGGUCCGUUGUGAAAACUCGAGGCUCAACCUCGAGACGCCGGUGGAAACCGUAAGGCUAGAGUCCGGAAGAGGAGAGUGGAAUUCCUGGUGUAGCGGUGAAAUGCGCAGAUAUCAGGAAGAACACCCGUGGCGAAAGCGGCUCUCUGGAACGGUACUGACGCUGAGACGCGAAAGCGUGGGGAGCGAACAGG